CACAUACGACGCAAUCUGCUUCUCCUCAUCCCCGUCCUACUACAACCCACGCCCCAUCUCUCAGAUUCUCUCUGCGCUGCAACCCCACCAACCCACUCGUCCUUGUAGCCAUAGCAGCAGCGGGUCUUAAACAGGUCUUAGAUCAAGAAAGAAAAAGCAGCAGAAGCUGAAGAGAGGAGAAGAGGAGAGAUGAUAUAUCGAAGAUGGAGUCUGUUGAUAACCCCACCGAUCAUAGUGGGGUCCAUUGUAACUGCAACCCUCUUCUAUAACUUCUACUUGGGUGGCAAUGAGCGGUUCUUUAAGAAGUACAGGGAGCAGGAGUCAUCCCAAUCCCCUAAGAAGGAAUGAGAAAAGGGUCGUCACCACAAUCUGCUGAUAAUACUUCCUUGUCCAUGUUUGUACAUGUGCCUAUGCAAACUUCUAAUCAAGUUGUAGUUUUGCUAACAUGAAAAUUUGAGCUUAAUAAAAUACAAUGGCACAUGCAAUGACUUUUUCUUUCCUUUUCUUUAAAGCUCUUGAAAAUCAUUGUAUUAUUCUAAUUACUGGUAUCUGUUGCUAGAUGACUAUUUCUAGAAAUGAUCACACUCUGUCGUGAAAAGGGUGGCCAUUUUCAGGCUAACCACCCGAACAUGAUCAAUGUUUAACAGAACCACUCGAACA